rnacentral:rRNA from 1 species
CAGGCCUAACACAUGCAAGUCGAACGAUGGCUUCGGCCAUAGUGGCGCACGGGUGCGUAACGCGUGGGAAUCUGCCCUUGGGUUCGGAAUAACAGCGGGAAACUGCUGCUAAUACCGGAUGAUGACGUAAGUCCAAAGAUUUAUCGCCCAAGGAUGAGCCCGCGUAGGAUUAGCUAGUUGGUGAGGUAAAGGCUCACCAAGGCGACGAUCCUUAGCUGGUCUGAGAGGAUGAUCAGCCACACUGGGACUGAGACACGGCCCAGACUCCUACGGGAGGCAGCAGUGGGGAAUAUUGGACAAUGGGCGAAAGCCUGAUCCAGCAAUGCCGCGUGAGUGAUGAAGGCCUUAGGGUUGUAAAGCUCUUUUACCCNGGGAUGAUAAUGACAGUACCGGGAGAAUAAGCUCCGGCUAACUCCGUGCCAGCAGCCGCGGUAAU